ACAUAGCAAUAUGCAUAUAUGGUAGUUUAGUAACAUGCAGAUUUUGGAUUGUUAAGCUAUCCGAGUUAGAAUGAAUUUCAAUACACUCUAUUAUAUGGUCACACGGAUAUAGUUUUGUUGUUUGAGACCCAUUUGAUUACUCAGAAAGAGGGUCAAUUCGUGGAUUACACUUAUUUUAGAGAUUAGUUUGGUCCUUCUAUAGGUUCGAGAUACCGUAAGUUAAUAAAAAAACAUAUAUACAAUGUUAAAUCCAUAUUUGUCUUCCAAUCUAUAAAAUAUAAAAUCCUGAAUAUUUUUUACAGUUUCACUUUAGUUUUGGAAUAUAUGAAUCAAGUUUGUUAAAAUUUGGCUAAAAUUGGGUCAGCAAUACCACAACCCGGAAGAAAUAAUCAAGAUGACAAAAAAAUAUUUAUGAGAAAGAAAAAAGGAAAAAUAAUAAUAAUUUAUUAGGGUUAUAAAAGGGCCAAAUAAUGUUUUAAAUUCUUAAGGCCCAAAACAAGAAAUAAUCUUUGAAUCGGGCCUAGAAUAGAUUCGUAUAAAGGAUGUCAAAAUGCAUAGGUGGUAGAUAUUUUUCAACAAGCUUCAAUCUCUGACCGUCAAUAAAAGUUGUUAGUUACUACUCCUACGUGGCAUGAUGUCAACCGUCCAAAUGAAUAAAACAGUGCCCGUUAAAACAGAAUGCGGAUUUCAAAUAGUUUUCAAAACUCAGCGUCGUUCUAAAAGGCGCUUCAGUUCCGACUCCCGCCAUAUAGAACCCUAAGCAAAUCCAGUCAUAAUCUCAAAUCCCACGCUCUCACUCUCUCGUUUCAAGCUCAUAAUGCUUUCUGCUCUCAAUGAUCGCUGGAGAUGUUAAGAAACUACAGGAUGCUGGGAUCCACACCUGUAAUGGUCUGAUGAUUCUUGGUUGCUCUUAACUUUUCAUUUGGUAAUUGCAGUCAUACCCGAUCCAGGUGUAAUGUUCAUACCAUAUCCAAAGAAGCCAGCAGGUUGGCAUGUUCUUGCUCAUGCUGUAACCAUCAGGCUCAGUUUCAGGAAAGGCAAAGGAGAGCAACGUGUAUGCAAAGUCUUUGACGCACCAAAUCUGCCUGAAGCCGAAGCAAUAUCCCUUUUUUUAACAAAUCUAUCACAACUUGCUAUUCAUCCAUAAUGCAUAACUUUGUUUUCCUUAACAAAAAGAAAGCAUGUCUUCCAGAUUACUUCCGGAAGCGUUGCAGAUGCCAAAGACUAGAGCCGGCCUAGAGGAGUUAUUUAUGUCUUGUUACUUAUUAUGCCUGUUUUCUUUCUACUAUGAGUAGCCAUAUUUGACCCACAGGACUUUACUUGGGAAGUUAUUUUUCUUACCAAGACUGAUAUUGCCAUGACUUAUUAUUAGCUUCUUA